AUAAAUGUCAUCAGUCAUAAUUUUCCAGGAAACAGUAUAAGUAAUUUCCACCAAAUUGGAACACAUUAAGGACAAUUCAAAACUACCAUGGUUUCUGUUUGAAACCAUGUUGCCAGCGCAGAAUUUAAGAGAGAGAGAUCCUUUGUCUCAACAAGAAAUAAUUAACUUUCUUCAAAACAAAAGACACAGCUGAAAAAAGAAUAAAUAAACCAAAAUAUCAAGAAAGGAUUCUUACCUGGAUAAAGAGACAUUUGGAGGACAAACUCAUCUUCCACCUGUGAAAAGCUCUUAGAAAUGAAAGCUCGUCUGUUAUUCUUUCAAUACAGCAAAGCCAGGGGAAGAUGAAACCUCUUCCGGUUACACUUAGCAACAAGGAGCAAAAUUAAAAGCAAUCAUGAACUUGUGAGUGAUAAACGGUAUUAGAUUUUACAAGGUUGAAAGGAGGCUUCAGCCAGGCUUUUCCUUGUCCACAGAGCAGCAGGCACGGACAGGAAAGCAUCGUCUGUUAGUCUAUGUCAAGGCCUGGUGCGUCCAUCACCCUCUGUGUCAUUUGUGAGUCCUGUGAUUCGAGGAAGCUGCUUGAUUUCUUUGAGGCUCAGUUUCUUCAUCUGAGAAAUGGGACUACCUAUUUCUGUAGGUUGCUGUGAGUAAUAACUCAGAUAAUACAUGUGCCAGGGUCCGUGACAUAGCCAUGAAACAGUUAGUGUUUCAUUAGGGUUUGGGGAGGAGCAAGGUUGGUUUUUUGUGGGGUUUUUUGUUGUUUUUGUUGCUGUUUUGAGACACCACAUAAUGUUUUCUCCUUUGUACCACAGAAGCCAUCAUUCAUCCUGGAUGAAAGCUGUAAAACCUUCUCCAGAGGCAGUAUGCCCAUUGCAGAGUUCUGGAGCAAACAUCAGAACCAGCGUCAGGAAACUGGAGUUCUCUAGGCACUGAACCCGGUUCCUGGCUAUGAGGCCACAGAGUCCUAACCACUGGACCACCAAGGAGGUCCUCUUCAUUAUUUCUGAAUGACUUAUAAGCAGAGUAAGUUUUGCGUUAACCAUAGAUACACACGUUUCUGGCCUGUCAGAUAACGAUUCGAUCGACCUGCCUUCUCUAGCUCUGGGAGGCCAGUUUUCUCUCUGAUAUGCACUCAUUUCAACAU
rnacentral:lncRNA from 1 species